AAUGGAAUUAAAGAUGAAGUUUAAUGAUUUAGAGAGAUGUAGGCAAUUGAACACCAACAACGUAAAGCAUGUGUUGUGAAGGGCAAUGGAAUUUUGCUAGGUGCACAUUUGACCUCAAUCUUUGACUCUGCUAAUGAAAACACAAAUGGCAAUGAGAUACAAUCCAAUAUACAAACUGUUGUGCAUUGCAUUGUUUUCAACUCAAUGAUGUUAGAAAUUAAUUGAGUGUUGUAAGUGAUUACUUAUUUUUGAUGUUACAUUUAGGUGAAAGGUAAGAAAAAUGUAUUGUUAAGCAGCAUUUGGAGUAAGGUGGAUAUUUGACGUGAGUGUGAAGGUUAUUUGUUGCAACUAUUAAUCGUGCAUUUCUUCAUGUGAUAGGGUUAGAAAUACUAUCUCAAAUCAUACAUAAUUUCAUUUUGGAAUCAUUUUAGUUCAAAUCAAAUUUCAAUGCAAACAUUGUGGAUUAAAUUGUUUGUCACUAAUACAUUUCAUCACACUUUAAAUGAUGCUGUAAACAAGGUGAAACUCCAUCCAUGAACUUACAUUUAUCAGCUAUAUCAUUUUUGUUAUAUUAGUUUGUUUUAUGGAUAUUGAUUUUGUUUGAGUAAUAUGAAAAGGCAACGUCGGAAGUUUCAACUUUGUUGUUUCUUUGUUUACAAUGUGUAUGGACCUAUAGUUUGAGGAAGAAGAUGUGAGUUUGCUUAAUAUUACGUCACUGGUACAUUUUGAUAGGAGGAAGAGCACAUUGUAUUGUUCAAGCUUCAACAAAAGGCAUUUGGAAUCAAAAGCUUGAUAAGAACUAUCAAUUCUUGUGGCUAUACUUGACAAUGUAAUUUUGCAAUGUCUACAUCUUUUACCUCUCAUGUUGUAGUUGAUUUAUCAAACUUUGGACAAGAGUGUAAAAGAAUAAUGCAAAUACCUACCUAAAAAAUAAAUAUUUGUGAAGAAGAUGUGUACGUCUUCAUAUAUUUGAUGUUAUUUAAUUUUUAUUAAAUUUAUUUAUUUUAUUUAUUUUUGGAUGCAAUAUUUUAUGUGUGAUUUCUAUUUUGAGGCAUGUAAUAUUACAUAAUGUAGAUUUGCCAAGAAUGAGUAGAACUUUAUUUGUGAUGAAUCAGAGCUAUUGUUGAUUAAGUCCCUACCUUUAUUAAAUGUUGUAUUCUUCCUUUCAUCAAAGUAUCCUUUUAGCGCCUACUCCACAUUUCCAAAUAGUAGUAAUACUUUAUAAUGGAAGUAAUGCUCACAAGUCAUAUUCUCCUUCAACUAAACCAUUUAUUGAGGCUCACUAAUACUAUAUUAGAGAAUGUAUCACGGAAUGUUUUUCUUAGAUAGAUAAUAAACACUUUACUUUUGAUAAGGUUUGGAUUUAUAGGAGCUCUUGAGGAUUACAUUUGCUCAAGUUUUUGUGAUUCUUUAGAGAAAAGCCGAUUGUCCCAAUAGAGUAGGGCUCGGAGUGCAAUAAAGGUUAGUACUAGAUAUCAGGGCUAAGUCUCGAAUUCCAAAUUCUUAAGAUUUUGUGACAAUGGUAUGGAUUCAAUUAGUCUAUAUAUUAAGAUUGCUUAAGAAGAUACAUGGUGGCUUUCAUUCACCGCAUAUGUGGGUCUUUAUUUUCAUCAAAUAUAUUCAUAUUUUGUAGAAUUCACUACUUAUUUCAUAGUUCAUUACUGCAUUUUAUAAUUGAUCAAGGAGUUCUAUAGGAUUCAAGUAGUGGUUCUUCAUGGUUGCAUCAUAGAUCUUUGUUUUCAUCAAAAAAGUUUGCAUUCUUUGAAGUUUACAAGGUGUUCUAUAAGGCAUUUUAUAGAUAAUCAAGGCAUUCUAUAAGAUAUUUUAUAGUUGAUCAAGUCAUUUCACAAGGCAUUCUAUGUUGUUGGUGAUAGCAUUGAAGCAACAUGAAGAGGAUUAAGCAAGACAAAAGCAAGAUGAUGCUCAUAAUUUUAAUGUAAGUGAGUUGAUUUUGAUUGGAUUCAUAAUGUGUUUUUAUGGUUUUAGUUGCAUUUAAAGUUGCAUUGGAUUUUAAUUUUCAUUGAAUUCUAAUUCAUCACAUUAAUUUUGAUUGGAUAUGAUUUGGAGCCACAUUGGGUUUCAAUUUUCAUUAGGUUCUGAUUUUCACUAGGUUUUGAAAGCUCAUCCAAAGUUGUUGUUUACAAAAGAUUUUCAUUAGGAUGUUUCACAUAUGGAUACUUGACCUCCUUGAAUGCAUGCUUGUAUCUGCUAUGUGAUGUGAUUAGUCAUUAUAAUGAUCAAUAUUAUAUUAAACAUUUGCUUUCUAAUCUCAAUUUCUAAAUAUAUGUAUAAUUUUGUUGAUCUUCUACUACAUUCAACAUUACUUCUCUAUUGUUGGUUUGGUCUUUUUUAUUCUUUUAGAUUCCUUUUAUAAAUGAAGUUUCUACUACAAAAUCAAACUCCAUUCUUUUAUGAUCUUCAAAAAUCUAUUUAAUGGGGUUUAUUUGUGCUUUAGGUGUUUAUGUGAUUUGUGAAAAAGUUCACCUCCAAAGAGAUAAAAGAAAAACAAAGCAUAAUCAAGCAAGCAAUUAGCUAAUGUAUUGAUGCAAUUGAUUGUGUCAUCUAUGUAGAAUUGAUUGCAAGUGGCAUUAAGCAAAGCAUAAUAGAGUGCAAUAAAGAUAUUCUAUUGUAACUUGAUUGAGUAAGUGUGGUUAGUGGCACAAACUUUAUUUCUUUCUUUCUACUGAAACUAUUUAUUUUUUUAUAUAUUAUGUGCCACAAGUAAUAGAAAAACAACUCAUAGCUCUCUUCAUCCAAGAAUCCACAAUGCAAAUGCCUAUUUUGAACAAUAUAAAACCCUUUUUUAUAGGUAAAAGUUAUAAUUGAAAACUUACAAUCAAGUGAAUGUCAUUACAGAUGCAGAAUAAUUUAGAAAAUAAUAUCGACAACUCCCAUACUUGUUUUUCACUAGCAUCUAGAAGAAACAAGAUUGCAGGUGAAUAAAAAGCCAAUGAUUGCAAUUAUGAAUCUAACUUUUGCGGUAUGGUUUUGUGCCGCAUUCACUUUACUAAGUUGUUAUGUUUGUGCAAAAAAAAUUAUAUAUAAAUUAUUCCAUAGUUUAUUGAAAAUUGAUGACAAUUACAAUAUCAAGUUUGUAAUUAUGUUUUUAGCACAAUAAAUAGAAAAGUGUAUAAGAAUUACUAAUUGUGUGAAUGUGUUUUUGAACCAUGUUGAAUUUAAGUUAUUUUUUCUUUUUUCAUUGUAUUUCCAAUAUAAGAUUAGCUUAAUUAUUAUUAUAUGCUAUAAUUUUUAAAUUUUUCUUUACAGAUGUGUUUUGAAAAAAAACAUAUAAUUUGAAUAAAUUUUAUGAAAUAAAUUGAUGUUGAUUUAUUUAAAAAAAUUAAUCUCAAGAUAAAUUAUUUUAAUUACAAUAGGUCAUUGACUUGAAAUUUAAAGAAAAAAAUUAAGUAAAUGUUUUCAACUAUAUUCUAUAAUAAUAUCAAAAUUUAUAGUGUUAUAAUUAAAAUCAAAAUCAAUAUAUAUUUUUAUAAAGAACUAUAUAUAUAAAUAUAUGAUAUUUUAUUCAAUUUCUAGCUAUAUAUUAUAUAUUUUUUUAAAUUACUUUAACUCAUGUUUAAAUAAAUAAAUAAAUAAAUAAAAUUAUUUUUUUUACAUGUGUAAUUAAUUAUACAUUAAGUCCAUGAUCUGAUUUGUAAAAGGUAAAUUGUCUUCUAUAAUAUUUCCUCAAUCUACCAAAAAAAUUUUUUUCUAGACUUUGUUGUUAUAUUAAUAUAGAAUUAAUUUUGAAGAACUUGAAUGCAAAAUUUCCUACUAAUGUACAAGGUGAAAUGCUUAAGAAGCAUAGAUUUUGAUAUCAAUAAACUAAUUUUUUGGAAAUUUGUGUCAAAAAUCUAUAACAAUGGCAUGGAUUCAACUAGGCUAUAUAUUAAGAUAAGUGAAGGCAGAUAAGUGAAGGCUUUCAUUCACAAAUGGAUGGAUCUUUGUUUUCAUCAAAAAAAUUCAUCUUUUCUAGAGUUUAUAUGUCAUUUUACUAUUCAUCGGUCUUUAUUUUCAUCAAAAAACUUAAUGUUGUCUAAAGUUCACAAGGUGUUUUAUCGUUGAUCAUAGGAUAUUUUACAUUAAAGCGGUAGCAAGAGUAUAAAUUAAAGGAUUUUUUGUAUAUCUAUGUGGCUGGACUCUCUUUUGGUCUCAAGGAGUGUAAUGUUCUCAUGGUCUUUUGAUGAAAACAAAGAUUGAUGAAUUGGAUAUGAGAGAGAAAAAAAGUGAGAUACUAUUAAUGAUGGACUGUGGCAUUGAGGAAAAAGGAACAAUGUAGAAUGUCAGAUCACUUUACAUAUAUUUAAGAUGCAGUACCAAGAUUGCAUAGAAAAACUGAGCUAAGUUAAGAAUCUUUGAGAAUAGAGCCAUUUGUCUUAAAUUCUUUCACCUGCUCAAUAUAAAAAGUGCUAAAGACUUCUACGUUUAAGGACCAAAAACUAUGGAAUUGUAAUGUAAGAAAAUACAACACACACACAUUGAAAAAGUGAUCAAUUGGAUUUUUACUAUAAUAGAUUGGACAAUGAGUUGAAUAAAUGAUUAGGCAUAAAAAAUUCAAUGAAAGGAUAAAAUCUUAAAUUUAAUCACUAAAGUUGUAUCUACACAAUUAUUUAUUACAUUAAUAAAGACUGAUAAAGUUAUUUAAAUUAUUAUCACAACUAUAAUAGGAGCCAUGUGAAAGAUCACUCUUACAGGGUGUAGAAUAUAAAAGUUUAUUUUGGAGGAAAAAAAACAAUAUAACACUGAAAUUCAAAUUCCUUGACAUGAUCCAAAAUUCAAACAUAAUAGCAAAUUGUAGACCCAUCCAACAAAGAGUGCAAGUUCUGGAGUUAAAGAAGUGAGUUUUAUCAAAAAACUUGCUUUGUGAUCUUGAUUUCUAGAUGUGAGUACAAUUCCCUUGAUCUUCUACUGCAUUGAAUAUUACUUCUCCAUUGUUGAUUUGUUCCUUUUGAUUCCUUUAAUGGGUAAAAUUUCUAUUAUAGAAUCACAAAUCUAUUUAAUGGAAUUUGUUUGUGCAUGAGUUGUAUAAUGAAGUUUUAGGUGUUUAUGUAAUUUGUAAAAAAAUUCACCUCCAGAGAGAUAAAAGAAAAACAAUGCAUAGUCAAGCAAAAAUAAAGAAUAAAAAAUAAAAUUCUUGCAAGAAUUCUUCACUUCUAAAUUAUAUUUGUGACAAAAUUACACUUUCAAUUAUUAAAAAAUUGACAUGUAUACAUCAGUUUUAAAAACUUAUUUUAUAAUUAAAAAAUCCUUUGACAUUGCUAAAUUUAUAUUAAAUAUUUAUAUAUGAUGUUUUUCUCUUGAAAAUGACAUAUUGAAACCAAUUAAAAAUCAAUUUUGUAUAAAAUCAUUGUAAGUCAUUUACAAAAUAUUACUUUUUUUCAAAAUCCAUGUUUUUAAUUUUCAAACCUAGGUCUGAUAAAUCUUAUUAUGCUGUAUGUUUUGCUGAUUUUAUUUGCAAAAGGUUUUUGUAAAGAGUAAUGUUUCCAAAUCCAUUUUGUUAUUUCUACUCUGUGUUCAUCAUAGCAAAGUUGCAAUAAGCAGAUGCUCUCAAAAUCAAGAUCACUUUUUAAAGCACAAGAAUAUAACCCAUGUAUACUAAGGCAAAACAGAUGCACUUCUUAAUCCACCUAUUGUUUGUGAUAGUAUUGCCAGCAUUUAGGGUUUCAACACUAAAAACAAUAACUAAAAUAAGGAAUACUGACCUCAUGCUGUGAACACAAGUAAUUUCAAGAUACAAAAGAAGGAAAGAAGAGAAAAGAAAAGGUGCAUGUGAGGCAGAGUUGCACUUGAACUUACAGUGAUGUAACUUCUAAAUCAAAUCCAUGUCACAAAAUCCAACACAAACUAAUUGCAGUAUACCACAGAAUGGAGUAAACUACAUUUUCUUUGAAGUCAACAACACACACUGUGAAGUUGUUCUCUUUGGAAAUUUGUUUACAUUGCUUGUUCUCAUAUAUGCAUUCUAAUGAUCUGGCCAUCACAAAUGAGAUCAAGAUGGAUGGAGAGAAAAGUGUACUUCACCCCAAUAUUGUAGCUUAAAGUCUCAACAGCUGCAUAGAGACAAAGGAAGUACUAUGUAAAUUAUAGUGAAAACAAACACAUAAACAAAGUAGGUAGAUUGAAAACACAAUCUUAUUGGAAGACUAGUUGAAAUACUCAAUUUAAAAAACCUCAAUAACCAAUUACUAAUAUUUAUGAUAUUAAAUUUAUGAUAAAAAAAUUACUAACAUUUAUGAUAUUUAUGAUAUUUUUAAUCAAUUUUUGAUAAAUAUUAUAUCCAUUAAUCUAUUUAAAUUGAAUAGAUUUUAUACUUUAAAUAAGAUUUAAAUCCAUUGCAUCAUAUUAAUCUUCUUUUGGCACUUGUUAUUUUUUAAGAAAAUAUUUUAUAAUUAAAGCCAUAUCUUACAUAUUUUUAAAUAAUUUUGAUAUGUCUUCAGAUAAUACAAUAUUCUUUCCAAAAAAAAAAUAUUAAUAAUAUAGUUAAUAGAUUUUUUUUACAUUUGUUAAGAGUUGUCAUCUUAUAGACAUGUUAUUUCUUAUGGCUUUGUCUUAAGAUUGAGACUUUGGUGAUGCUACUAAGAAAUAUUGCUCCUUGCCAAGGACUUUGCAAUGGAACCCAAUUGAUAAUAAAACGACUAAUGGAUUGAGUUCUUGAAGAAAGAAUUUUUGCAAGAAAAUUUGUUGAAAACUUAGUGUUUAUUAUGCACAUUAACUUUCACAACAAAAGAACUUAUGUUUAUUCUAAAGAGAAAGCAAUUUCCAAUUUGUCUUUCAUUUGCAAUAACAAUUGGUGAAGCACAUUGGUUUAGAUCUACAACAACUUAUUUUUUUCCAUGGUAAACUUUAUGUAGCACUUUCUCAAUGCACUUCCUCCCAUUCUAUCAAGAUCCUUCUUCUUAAAAAUGACAAUUAAAAUUCCACUCUAAAUAUUAUUUUUUUAGAAGUUUUAAUUAGAUAAAUAUUAGUAAUUUAUUUUAUAUUUUAUAUUUUUAUUUAUUUAUUUCUUGACUUUAAUACAUCUUUGAAUGUCAUAACAUACUUUUAUGAUUUUUUAAAGUAUUUUUUUUAAAAAAUAUUUUCACAAGUAGUUCCUUGAACAAAACUAAGUACUUUUUUUUUUGCAUAUUAUCUAUGACAACAACAUAGAUUUACAUAUCCUACUUUGUAGCUAAAAGCUCCAUUGUAUAUUUUAUUUCUUUCUAUUUAUAUUAUAUUAUAUUUGUAUUUG
rnacentral:lncRNA from 1 species